GGGCACUUCAAAUUCGUUUUAAUCACUUGUGUAUUAUAACUGGUAUGUUUUUUAUAUACUUUUCCAUGCGGCAGACACGACUGUCCUGGAAAAAAUGUCCUUUGGGACAAUAUAGUCUGUCUUAUAUCGUCUCCUCACCCUGCAUGCCCCUAGGGUGCUAUGAAUGGAUGUUGGCUUCACUGUGUGUGUGUGUGUGUGUGUGUGUGUGUGUGUGUGUGUGUGUGUGUGUGUGUGUGUGUGUGUGUGUGUGUGUGGUAGUAGUGUAUGUGGCUUAUGGUAUGGGGUAUCCAUUGCUCCGAGUUAUGAUUGGCCUGAAUGAUGAGUGAUGUCAUGGCUGGGUUCGAGAUGGGGGAUAUGAUAUUUUGACAUUUUAAUUCUCAGAGGACGUGAAAGUAUGAUAUCCAACCAAGUUAGAAACACACAUGCACGCACAAAAAUCCUUGCCUCGCAGAAUAUGUGUGCGUAUUAACACAGGCAAUUUGACCCAAGCAACUCGCACCCACCACCUACUUACCAAUGAUGUCAUUUUCAAUUCACACUGUGUGUGUGUUUGUGUGUGUGCGUGUGUCUGACAGUGUAAUCGGUGCGUGUGUGUGUGUAUGUGUGUGUGUGUGUGUGUGUGUGUAUUGAGUAAGGGGAUACCAAAAAGGAAAAGGAGGAUGUACUAACUUUUAUUUUUACAUAGCAUGGAUCAUUCUUUUUUCUCUCUCUUUUUCUCUCUCUCAAUCGCUCUCUCUGUCUCCCUUUAUUCUCCUCUCAUCCUCUCUCAUAUUCUUCAAUAUGAGGGAGUAACUUGAGUACAACUGGAAUACAUGAAGCAAGACCAGAUUGCAGGAUCUUGUCCUCACCUCCACCGCUGUUCUUUCUGCGGGCUGGUUCAAAGUAAAUCUUCAUGUUGCAAAUCUCCAGCAUGGCUACGAUCUUAACGUGCAGUGACAGGGACAUAUAAAAAAUUACUAGUAGUACAUUCACAAGAUACACACACAUGGACGCACAAAAAAACCACACACACGCAAACACACAUGCGCAUGUGCUCAUACACACACGCACACAGACUCCAACAUACCAUGCGCUUGCUGUCACGCACACACACACACACACACACACACACACACACGCUUGUGCUCAGACUCACAAGCACACUCACGCUGAUGCGUUUUCUGUCACACACAUACACACACACAAACACACGCACACACAUAUACACAGACACAUAUAUAGACACACAAACGCACCAGAACAGUGUGAAGCUGGUCAGUGUCUUGAGAGUUGUGUGAGAACAGGAGCGGUCCUACAGACACAGAGAGUCCCAAAGCAAAUCUUCACACGAUGA
rnacentral:lncRNA from 1 species